rnacentral:misc_RNA from 1 species
CACGCUGUUGCACUUCCGCGAACAGGUUGAAAACUACAGGAGAUCUCACGAUGGCCAAUGGCACCGUGAAAUGGUUCAACGCCACCAAAGGCUUCGGCUUCAUUGCACCCGAUACGGGCGGAAAAGAUGUCUUCCUUCAUAUUUCUGCUGUCGAGCGCGCGGGCCUGAGCACCGUGAACGACGAUCAGAAAGUGACCUAUGACGUCGAAUCCGGUCGCGACGGCCGGGAAUCCGCGACCAAUCUUCAGCUCGCCUGAAGGUCGAUCCAAGUUUGGAGCAGGGCGUCUUCGGGCGCCCUUUUUCGU